CCGCCGCAGUAACACAUGCAAGUCGAGCGCCCAGCAAUGGGAGCGGCAGACGGGAUAGUAACACGUGGGAACGUACCUUUCAGUUCGGAACAACCAAGGGAAACUUUGGCUAAUACCGAAUACGCCCGUAAGGGGAAAGAUUUAUCGCUGAAAGAUCGGCCCGCGUCUGAUUAGCUAGUUGGUGAGGUAAUGGCUCACCAAGGCGACGAUCAGUAGCUGGUCUGAGAGGAUGAUCAGCAUCACUGGGACUGAGACACGGCCCAGACUCCUACGGGAGGCAGCAGUGGGGAAUAUUGGACAAUGGGCGCAAGCCUGAUCCAGCCAUGCCGCGUGAGUGAUGAAGGCCUUAGGGUUGUAAAGCUCUUUCGUCAGGGAAGAUAAUGACGGUACCUGAAGAAGAAGCCCCGGCUAACUUCGUGCCAGCAGCCGCCGUAACAC
rnacentral:rRNA from 1 species